GUGUAACUGGAUACAUCCUUGAUGGCCACCCUCAGCUCACCUGCAUAGCCAAUUCAGUUAAUACAGCUUCGUGGGAUUUUCCUGUUCCUAUCUGUAGAGCUGAAGAUGCUUGUGGAGGAACAAUGAGAGGAUCCAGUGGCAUCAUAUCCAGCCCUAGUUUUCCUAAUGAGUACCAUAACAAUGCUGAUUGCACUUGGACCAUUGUAGCAGAGCCUGGGGACACAAUUUCACUCAUAUUUACUGAUUUUCAAAUGGAAGAGAAAUAUGAUUACUUAGAAAUAGAAGGUUCUGAGCCACCUACCAUAUGGUUUGGAUAUUUAAAAGAUCUUACAGGAAAGUUAUGUGAAGAGGUUGUCAGAGCUGAAGGAUAUUUUUGAAGAUCGAGCUAUUUACAUAAAAAAUAGAUGAAAUUCAAAACUUGUAUGAACAAAUAAAAGUUAUUCCUAUUGUAA
rnacentral:sRNA from 1 species